UACGUAGGGUGCGAGCGUUGUCCGGAAUUAUUGGGCGUAAAGAGCUCGUAGGCGGUUUGUCGCGUCGGAUGUGAAAGCCCCGGGGCUUAACCCCGGGUCUGCAUUCGAUACGGGCAGGCUAGAGUUCGGUAGGGGGAGAUCGGAAUUCCUGGUGUAGCGGUGAAAUGCGCAGAUAUCAGGAGGAACACCGGUGGCGAAGGCGGAUCUCUGGGCCGAUACUGACGCUGAGGAGCGAAAGCGUGGGGAGCGAACAGG
rnacentral:rRNA from 1 species